UAGGCUCAGGAUGAACGCUAGCGACAGGCCUAACACAUGCAAGUCGAGGGGCAGCACAAGGAGCAAUCUGAGGUGGCGACCGGCGCACGGGUGAGUAACACGUAUGCAACCUGCCUGUAAGCGGGGAAUAACCCGUUGAAAGACGGACUAAUACCGCAUAAUACUAAAUUACUGCAUGGUAAUUUAUUUAAACAUUUUAUGGCUUACAGAUGGGCAUGCGCAUGAUUAGCUAGUUGGAGAGGUAACGGCUCCCCAAGGCAACGAUCAUUAGGGGUUCUGAGAGGAAGGUCCCCCCACACUGGUACUGAGACACGGACCAGACUCCUACGGGAGGCAGCAGUGAGGAAUAUUGGUCAAUGGACGAGAGUCUGAACCAGCCAAGUCGCGUGCAGGAAGAAUUGUCCUAUGGAUUGUAAACUGCUUUUGCAGGGGAAUAAAGUGCAUCACGUGUGAUGUUUUGUAUGUACUCUGCGAAUAAGGAUCGGCUAACUCCGUGCCAGCCGCCGC
rnacentral:rRNA from 1 species